GAUCGGCUGCCUCCUGCAUGCCCCACACUGGGGAUCUAGCCUGCAACCCAAGCAUGUGCCCUGACUAGGAAUGAAGCGUGACCUCCUCAUUCAGAGGUUGAUGCUCAACCACUGAGCA